GGCUGAGAUGCUCAGGCCGUUGUAAAGGCACAGCAUGAAAAUCAUCAUGGACUCGCUGGUGCCAAACCACAAGAAGAAACAGCUGAUGCCCGAGAGGAUCAUGGAACCACCUGAUGGAUAUGUGUGCUGAACGUAAAGAUGAUGGGCCCUGACAGGUGUGGUCAGGGGCACAGCGCGAUGACACGCUCCGACUCGGAAGGAGAAACCGUGACAGCUUUUACCCAAACAUGUCUCCAGGAGAUCUGCUCACCUCCAGGUAGAACCUGGGACUCUCUGGCAUGAAGAAUUGGAAAAAAUCUAUUCAUCAACUUACCCAAAACCUGCAACAAGACGGCAGAGAAGGAAUAAACCAUAUCCCUGGACAAACGACGACAGGAAGGCAAAAAAGCCAUUGGUGGACAUGCAGAUGAGGAGGAUCUGUCUGCGUCCCAGCUUGUCAGACAUUCCUCCCCAGAAGAAUGCUCCAAACAUCAUUCCCAGGUAAACAAUGCUGCCUGGAAAAACAAAAAAAAA